GAGUACGGUCGCAAGGCUAAAACUCAAAGGAAUUGACGGGGGCUCACACAAGCGGUGGAGCAUGUGGCUUAAUUCGAAGCAACGCGAAGAACCUUAUCCUGGGCUUGACAUGCAGGGAUUAGCUCCGUGAAAGCGGAGUGACGCCUUCGGGUGGAACCUGCACAGGUGCUGCAUGGCUGUCGUCAGCUCGUGCCGUGAGGUGUUAGGUUAAGUCCUUUAACGAGCGCAACCCCUGUCGCUAGUUGCCAGCGCGUAAUGGCGGGGACUUUAGCGAGACUGCCGGCGUCAAGUCGGAGGAAGGUGGGGAUGACGUCAAGUCCGCACGGCCUUUAUGCCCAGGGCUGCACACGUGCUACAAUGGUCGGUACAAAGCGACGCAAUACCGCGAGGUGGAGCAAAACGCCAAAGCCGGCCCCAGUUCGGAUUGCAGGCUGCAAUUCGCCUGCAUGAAGUUGGAAUCGCUAGUAAUCGCGGAUCGGCUACGCCGCGGUGAAUACGUUCCUGAGCCUUGUACACACCGCCCGUCAAGUCAUGGAAGCUGGCAGCGCCUUAAGUCGCCGCGAUUCAGCGGUGCCCACGGCGAAGCUGGUGACUGGGACU
rnacentral:rRNA from 1 species